GGAUAACAUACCGAAAGGUAUGCUAAUACGGGAUAAUAUAUUUGAGAGGCAUCUCUUGAAUAUCAAAGGUGAGCCAGUACAGGAUGGACCCGCGUCUGAUUAGCUAGUUGGUAAGGUAACGGCUUACCAAGGCGACGAUCAGUAGCCGACCUGAGAGGGUGAUCGGCCACAUUGGAACUGAGACACGGUCCAAACUCCUACGGGAGGCAGCAGUGGGGAAUAUUGCACAAUGGGCGAAAGCCUGAUGCAGCAACGCCGCGUGAGUGAUGAAGGCCUUCGGGUCGUAAAACUCUGUCCUCAAGGAAGAUAAUGACGGUACUUGAGGAGGAAGCCCCGGCUAACUACGUGCCAGCAGCCGCGGUAAUACGUAGGGGGCUAGCGUUAUCCGGAUUUACUGGGCGUAAAGGGUGCGUAGGCGGUCUUUCAAGUCAGGAGUGAAAGGCUACGGCUCAACCGUAGUAAGCUCUUGAAACUGGGAGACUUGAGUGCAGGAGAGGAGAGUGGAAUUCCUAGUGUAGCGGUGAAAUGCGUAGAUAUUAGGAGGAACACCAGUUGCGAAGGCGGCUCUCUGGACUGUAACUGACGCUGAGGCACGAAAGCGUGGGGAGCAAACAGGAUUAGAUACCCUGGUAGUCCACGCUGUAAACGAUGAGUACUAGGUGUCGGGGGUUACCCCCUUCGGUGCCGCAG
rnacentral:rRNA from 1 species